GAUCCUGGCUCAGGGUGAACGCUAGCUACAGGCUUAACACAUGCACGUCGAGGGGCAGCAUGAACUUAGCUUGCUAAGUUUGAUGGCGACCGGCGCACGGGUGAGUAACACGUAUCCAACCUGCCGAUGACUCGGGGAUAGCCUUUCGAAAGAAAGAUUAAUACCCGAUGGCAUAGUUCUUCCGCAUGGUAGAACUAUUAAAGAAUUUCGGUCAUCGAUGGGGAUGCGUUCCAUUAGGUUGUUGGG
rnacentral:rRNA from 1 species